AAUGGGUCAGCGACUUAUAUUCUGUAGCAAGGUUAACCGAAUAGGGGAGCCGAAGGGAAACCGAGUCUUAACUGGGCGUUAAGUUGCAGGGUAUAGACCCGAAACCCGGUGAUCUAGCCAUGGGCAGGUUGAAGGUUGGGUAACACUAACUGGAGGACCGAACCGACUAAUGUUGAAAAAUUAGCGGAUGACUUGUGGCUGGGGGUGAAAGGCCAAUCAAACCGGGAGAUAGCUGGUUCUCCCCGAAAGCUAUUUAGGUAGCGCCUCGUGAAUUCAUCUCCGGGGGUAGAGCACUGUUUCGGCAAGGGGGUCAUCCCGACUUACCAACCCGAUGCAAACUGCGAAUACCGGAGAAUGUUAUCACGGGAGACACACGGCGGGUGCUAACGUCCGUCGUGAAGAGGGAAACAACCCAGACCGCCAGCUAAGGUCCCAAAGUCAUGGUUAAGUGGGAAACGAUGUGGGAAGGCCCAGACAGCCAGGAUGUUGGCUUAGAAGCAGCCAUCAUUUAAAGAAAGCGUAAUAGCUCACUGGUCGAGUCGGCCUGCGCGGAAGAUGUAACGGGGCUAAAC
rnacentral:rRNA from 1 species